GCUGCAGCAGUUCAGAUGAAUUUACCUUCAGAACCAAAGAGCAGAGAAGAUUUUCUGUAGUAUUUCUGUUAUCUGACUCUGGAUCCAAACACAGCACAUCGUCAACUCAUUUUGUCUGAGAAGAACAGAGUGGUGAGAUGGAGUAAGACACAACAGCGAUACUCUGAUCAUCCAGAGACAUUUGACAUCUAUACUCAGGUGUUGUGUAAGGAGAGUGUGUGUGAUCGCUGGUGGAGUGGAGCAGUGAUAUAGACAUAUCAGUGUCAUAUAAAGACAUCAGCAGGAAAGGACGGGGCAAUGAGUGUGUGUUUGGAUGCAACAGUCAGUCCUGGAGUCUGGAGUGUUCUUCUUCAUCUGUCUCUUUCUAUCACAACAACAUUAAGACUAAGAUCUGAGGUCCAUCCUCCUCCAGAAUAGGAGUGUAUGUGGACCACAGUGCAGGAACUCUGUCCUUCUACAGCGUCUCUGACACCAUGAGGCUCCUCCACAGAGUCCACACCACAUUCACUCAGCCUCUAUACGCUGGAUUCUGGAUGUGUUAUAAUAACUCAUCUGUGAGGUUUUGUGAUCCAAAAUAAAAUGUUAGUAAAAGUGUUUAUAAAAACUA